CAUCGCCGCGGUAAUACGAAGGGGGCUAGCGUUGCUCGGAAUGACUGGGCGUAAAGGGCGCGUAGGCGGAUUGCGCAGUCAGAUGUGAAAUUCCUGGGCUUAACCUGGGGGCUGCAUUUGAGACGCGUAGUCUAGAGUGUGAAAGAGGGUCGUGGAAUUCCCAGUGUAGAGGUGAAAUUCGUAGAUAUUGGGAAGAACACCGGUGGCGAAGGCGGCGACCUGGUUCAUAACUGACGCUGAGGCGCGAAAGCGUGGGGAGCAAACAGGAUUAGAUACCCCCGUAGUCCCUGUCUCUUAUACA
rnacentral:rRNA from 1 species